rnacentral:lncRNA from 10 species
GUCACUCUGAGUCGCCGCAUGCCGGGCUCCUUCUCUCGCUGCUGGUUCGGGUGUUGGGGCCUGGUCCCGCUUGCAAAAGCUCCCACGGACCAGAGAAAAGAGGAGGAUGUCAGACGUAGAAACAAAUGGCGUGUCAAGUUUCGCAGGAAGAGAGGGAAGAGUGAAGCUCCGGGAGCCAGCCACGAUUAGUCGCGCCUUCUGUGACGUCCAAUGGCAGAGGUCAAAGGGAUUCCUGGGGCAACCUCGAGGGAAAGAAUUCUGGCUCCGAGGGCCGGUGUACAGUGCUUUAAAUAUGGCAGUGGUUAUGUGUGAAAUUAUCGUGUUUUUCUGUUUAACCUGUUUCUUGUCUCUUCAUCGCCUUUCUAUAUAAUGUAAGACCAGAGGCUUUAUGUAGUGAAUUCCCUGUAACCCCGGCUGCUUGGACAGAUAGGUAUUCAAGUAUUUGUUUCUUGAAGUAAUCCUCUGAAUUAACUUGCUCACAUGUAAAAAAUAAUAACGGGCUGGGAAACGCCAGUAAUAGCCGCCAAACGUUUGUUAGACAUUUACAGUGUGCCAGGGACUGCAUUUUACGUGUAUUAUCACAUUCCUCAGAACAGCCUAAUGAGGUAUAUAUUACUAGAAUGCCUAUUUUUCAGAUGAGGAAACUGAUGCAUAGAAAGGAUAAUUUACUCAAGAGCGAGGAAGUAGCAAGCAUAAAAUCCAAGUACAUUUUUUUCUGCAUGUAUUAAUAGGUACAAUGAAGUAACUUUUUAAAUUGCUGUAGGUAUCAAUCAUAGUCUUAAUUCCCAGUAAUUCACUUACUAAGAAAUAUUUUCUGCUUCUCUUUCAUCAUUCAUGGGAGAGAUACAUAUCCCUAAAUAUUUUGCACAUUUAAAACUUAAACUUGGGUAUGGUGGCUUAUGCCUGUAAUCACGGCGUUUUGGGAGGCUCAGGUGGGAGGAUUGCUUGAGUCCAGGAGUUCCAGGCCAGCCUGGGCCACAUAGUAAGACCCCGUAUCUACAAAAAAUAAAAAAAAAAUUAACCGGGCAUGGUAGUGUCUCUGUAGUACUAGCUACUCGGGAGGCUGAGGUGGUAGGAUCACUGGCGCCCAGCAAUUCCAGCCUGCAGUUAGGAUUACCACACUGCACUUCAGCCUGAGCGGCAGAAUGGGACCAUGUCUGAAAAAAUAAAUAAAAAAUAAAACUUGCAGGUGACUCUGAAGCAGAACUCUUGAGAUGGAAGGAUUGUCAUCUGAGGAAAAAAAAUCAAGAUUAAGAGAGGAGGAACUAGAAUGAGAUUCACAUACCGUCUCUCCUCCAAGGGAAGGAGAGAGUGGUGAUGCCUGCCCACUCCUUCCUGGGCAGAACAUUUGUAGCAUGGAACAUUGGAGAAUUUGCAGUCUGCUGACUUUCUGAUUUAGGAGGUUGAUGGGGAGGCCUUAUAAUUUGCAUUUCUAACAAGUUCUGAGGUGAUGCUUCAAGUAUGUCCAGGCAGAAGGGCUGCCUCACAGAGAAUUCUGCCAUACCACAUGGGAAUUGAAGUCACAGACAUCUCUAACCCUCAAGCCUGAAACCAAAAGACUGAAAACCAACACUACAGUGGACAAAGAACAUCUCUGAACUU